UUUCUACUCCCUCCGUCCGAAAAUACUUGUCAUCAAAAUGGAUAAAAAGAGAUGUAUCUAAAACUAAAAUACGUCUAGAUACAUUUCCUUUUAUCCAUUUUGAUGACAAGUAUUUCCAGACGGAGGGAGUAUUUG
rfam:Triticum aestivum genome assembly, contig: Triticum_aestivum_CS42_TGACv1_scaffold_441985_5DL